GGGUCUUUAUUGAAGUUUAUUGAAAACGUAGUGAUUAUAUUCUCUUUGGUUUAUUGUUGCAUACCGUAACUAACAACACCCAAGUCGAGAUAUUUCAAUUAAAUUAAUACAAUGUCUAACGGUACGUGUAUAGUGAAGAAACAACGGAGUGGCUCUAAUGUGAAGGCCACCUUUUCUGUUAUACGGUUUGAAGAUCAUCAUGGUGAUAUUAGAAGUGAUAGUAUUUUCCUCGAUGACCGCUCUGAAAUCACAGCUGUAGUUUAUGCAAUAACGACGACUUACUAUAAACACCAUAAACCUCCAUAUUGCAUUUCAGUCAAAAUUAAGGCAAGCAGUGCAAAUACAAAAAAAUCAUAUGCAAAGGAAUGUCGCAAUAUUUUACUAAACAUAAAAACCGAAGGAUUUGAUAAACAUCUUCUGUGUCAAAAUGAAUGGACAGAAGUAAUAGUUAUAAAAGAAAAACAACCUGACAUUUCUGUAUGUAAAAUUUCUAAUGAAAAAGUUCUUUUGUAUACAUUUGAUAUAAACUUCUCUGUAGAUGUCCCAACACAAAAUGACCCCUCAAAUGUAUACAGUGAACUUUAUCAAGAAAUAGAGUUCACCGACUUCAAGCUGCGGGCGACUGAUGGCACUGUGCCUGUACAUAAAAGUAUACUGUUCAUUCAUAGCGAGAUGUUCCGGGCAAUGCUGAAGGGGCAGUGGAGAGAGACAGGAGAAGCCAGCAUUGACAUGGUGGGGGUGACAGUACAGACCUUACAACACUUGAAGGAAUACAUGUACUUAGGCACUAUUCCCAAUACAGGGCUAGAACCACUUCUUUUGUUGGCGAGACGCUGUUUGAUGGAUAAGUUGGCUGCCGGAUGCAUAAAAAAGCUGAUCAAAAAUGUAACUCCGGCCUCAUUUGAUGCUCUUUUUGAUCUUGCAUUUCAAAACAACAUACCUGAACUAAUGAAAGGACUUGUAUUUGAAAACUCCCAAUAAUGCUGUAGGUGCAUUGGCUAUUUGCAUGAUAAUAGUUUAUGUCACUAAUAUGUUCAUCUUUCUUUCAAUGAUUACAAUUAUAAUGAGUAGUAUAAGUGGAUAAGUUUUGUUACUAAUUCUUGAUAAUUAAUAAAAAAGAAUAAAAGUCA